rnacentral:rRNA from 1 species
UGGAUCCAGACUUUGAUUCUGGCUCAGGACGAACGCUGGCGGCGUGCCUAACACAUGCAAGUCGAACGGAGCUCCGCCCUUCGAGACGGAACUUAGUGGCGAACGGGUGAGUAACGCGUGAAGAACCUGCCUUCCAGUGGGGGACAACAGUUGGAAACGACUGCUAAUACCGCAUGAUACUUUUGAGGGGCAUCCCUUGAAAGUCAAAGCUUUAAGUGCUGGAAGAUGGCUUUGCGUCUGAUUAGCUAGUUGGUGGGGUAACGGCCCACCAAGGCGACGAUCAGUAGCCGGUCUGAGAGGAUGAACGGCCACAUUGGGACUGAGAUACGGCCCAGACCCCUACGGGAGGCAGCAGUGGGGAAUAUUGGGCAAUGGGCGAAAGCCUGGCCCAGCAACGCCGCGUGAAGGAAGAAGGCCUUCGGGUUGUAAACUUCUUUUACCAGGGACGAAGGACGUGACGGUACCUGGAGAAAAAGCAACGGCUAACUACGUGCCAGCAGCCGCGGUAAUACGUAGGUUGCAAGCGUUGUCCGGAUUUACUGGGUGUAAAGGGCGUGUAGGCGGAGGCGCAAGUUGGGAGUGAAAUCUAUGGGCUCAACCCAUAAACUGCUCUCAAAACUGUGUCCCUUGAGUAUCGGAGAGGCAAGCGGAAUGCCUAGUGUAGCGGUGAAAUGCGUAGAUAUUAGGAGGAACACCAGUGGCGAAGGCGGCUUGCUGGACGACAACCGACGCUGAGGCGCGAAAGCGUGGGGAGCAAACAGGAUUAGAUACCCUGGUAGUCCACGCUGUAAACGAUGAAUACUAGGUGUGGGAGGACUGACCCCUUCCGUGCCGCAGUUAACACAAUAAGUAUUCCACCUGGGGAGUACGACCGCAAGGUUGCAACUCAAAUGAAUUGACGGA